UACGAAGGGUGCAAACGUUGCUCGGAAUCAUUGGGCGUAAAGCGCACGUAGGCGGCUUCGCAAGUCGGACGUGAAAUACCUAGGCUCAACCAAGGACGUGCAUCCGAAACUGCGAGGCUUGAGUACAGAAGAGGAUCGCGGAAUUCCCGGUGUAGAGGUGAAAUUCGUAGGUAUCGGGAGGAACACCAGUGGCGAAGGCGGCGAUCUGGGCUGAUACUGACGCUGAGACACGAAAGCGUGGGUAGCAAACAGG
rnacentral:rRNA from 1 species